GGCUGAGGGCUCCGUCCGCGCCGCGGGGAACCCGACUUUCCUGUUAAAAUAACCUGACUUUCCUGCCAAAACAGCACUGGAAAACGCUGCCGCCGCGCCGGAACCAGGCGGCGGUGACGGAGCGGACUCGAAACCUGCCGAGCCGCUGCGCCUCCCUCCUGCCGGGGCCGAGAGCCGUGACCUCAAGCGCAUCCCUUCCCAGCCCCUUUCACAAGGGCAGGGGCUCGGCCGCAGCCCGGCCACCGGGCAAUGACGAGAGGAAGCACGUGGUAACAGAAGAGUUGGGUCCCCGAGGCUUGGGAAGCAAAAGGUUUUUGCUUGCACCUCAGAUUGCCCGUAGGCAGUAGGACUUUUCACAGUCCUGAUAAAAUGAGGUCAAAUGGGAGCCGCCUAGGAUAGGUACUGCAGCUCACGAGCGGGGUUGGUGCGGGCCGGUGUGGCCCGACGAGAGCAGGCAAGGUCGUGUCAGGCCCGGGCUCAGCAGGCAGUGUGCCCUCCGGCCCUGCGCACCCGUCCGAGCAGGGCACCUCACCAUGACACUGGCUCUUCACCACCAAAGUGCGGAAAGUUGAGGUGUCUCACAGCUGCGAGGCAGCGUGGCCAUUCUCUCUGCUACACUGAAAUAACUGUAUAAUAUUUCUUUCCACUGUAACUAGUUUUCAGUCUUCCAUCAAUUUCUCAUAGGAACUUCACCAUUACAAGUGUUUUCUAUUAUAAAUUACAGGUCCCACAUCAAUUUUCAUUCUUAUAUUAUCCCUGUAUCAAAUAUUAGAUCCUCUUUCUGCCCACCAGCUCUUCCAAGAAAUAAUGCAACAGUAACUUGACGGUAUUAGGCAUAACUCUGUACCACAUCCCAGGAUACUUAAAAGGUAAUACUGUGUAUCUGUAGAUGGUGAUGACAGCGUUUCAAGUUUUUGCAUACGCAAGGGCAAUCUCAUACACUUUUAGGCAUUAUGUCUCACACACCAUUUUAGUAAAUGUAAGCCUUGCAUCCUUUGAAAAGAAGAUUGACAACCAUGUCACCAUAAAACAGUUUUCUUAUGAUAAUUCAUGCAUAUUAAAGAAAUAUUUCUCUUAUUUUUAAAGUCUCCUGAUAGGAGAAAAAAAUCAUCAGGUCUGGCACUCUAUUAUAGUUGUUAGAUGUUACUCCAAAGAAAGGUAUAAACUGUAACCCUAAUCACUUUUGUUUGGCAAAAGAUCGAAAAGCUUAUCAAAGUAUCCUGUCAAUGAAUAAUGACAUCGAAUGUCAAUGAAUAGUGAUCCUCUUGCAAGGAUUGCUGAUCACAUAAUUUCACUAUGAAAUUAUCUUAAUUCUCCUGACAGCUGCAAAAUCUCAAAAAACAACCUUACUGAAUUUUUAAGGUAACAAAAAUUCUGUUCAUUGGGUUCUAGGUAAGAAAGUGAAUUAUCACUGAAAACAGUAAGAGAUCUUCAUUUUUCAGCACGACCAGCUGCUUCUGGGCUCACACUGUGAACUGCUCUGACUUUGCUUACAGUCAGCUGGGACUUCUUCCUACAAGGACCGAUCUGGAAUACACUGGACAGAAGAGACUCUGUGAUCCCUGACGCCUGAGGAUGCUGAGCUGGACGCUUAUCUCUUGAGAGAGACAGGCAGGUCUGCCCAUCACUUUCCAGCAGGUUGCUCUCAGGAUACAGCACCACAGGAGAGCUGGGAGAGCCAGAAAGGCUGCUCUGGCAUGGAGCUGCUGUGCAAAAUAUCCACUGGUGGAUUCCACAAUGCAUGGCUGAGAGUGAUCUUGUUUGGCAUGUAGAAAUCCUGUCCUGCUGCAAAUGCUAAAUAGUGAUGGUUUCCAGAUGCAUGAGUCAGUUUUCACAUGUCAUCAGUUUCAUGUGCACAGGGUACUUUUUGUGACACGGUGCAGAAGUCAAUAUCCUGGAAAUGACCAAGCCUGGCUCUCUCCACUGAUACAAAGAUGCUGUCAGGUUGGUCAGUUCUUUUUGUAGAUCUGGGAAGCUCCAUCUGGCCUUGGAGAAGUUCUGCUGACAGCUCACCUGCUGGCACUGAACUCUGAUUAGGCUGCUGAUGCAGCCUAUAUUUCAAGCCUGUUACUUAUAAUUCACAUGACCAGCUGUUGCAAAAUUCAUUAUGCAGUAUUAUCUACCAGAAUGUAUUUGUCCUUUAUAUGUAAAUUCUGAAUUAUUUAGUAAGUUUAUUUAUUCUUUAUAAACUGUGAAUUUCAUGUUGAGCAUAACAACACAUACAAUUCUUCUUUAGUUUACUCUGAAAUGUAAAGUAACAUGUAAAUAAAUAUGCAGACUCCAUAUUUACUUAAUGAAUUGUAAUACUGCCAGUCUAUUCCAAUAAAGAAUAUUCUUUUAUAA